AGCACUAAUAUAGAGGCAACAUGUUUUCCCACUCUACUGGUAUUUUAAACGUAUGUCACAUGUUAAAAUGGUGCUGUUUUGGGGGGGCUUAGCACCGAUUGAUUUUGAUUCAUGUCAAUGGGACACUGUAAUGAUCCUCCACGACAGUUUUAAAUUUGUGUUUAUUUUCCUUUGCUUGGUCUUAUUUCUGUUCCAGCGCUUUUGUUUCCACUUCCAGUGUUUCCCUUGCCUGCCACUUCUUCUCUGGCCUUAGCGCUGCCUCCCUCACCUGUCCCUAAAUGGCCAUCAGGAACACCUGACCCUUGUUACCAGCAAUCUACAAUCUGCGCACCUGGGUCUGAUGAAGACCGACAGCAUAAAGACCAGCGGACCUGAAGAUCCAGUGCCGGAACGUAGUUCACUCUCGUAUGCUUCCCCUGUUUCCCGUGAUCGAGCUGUGUGCCUCGACUUCCCUCUGGAUUCAGGACUGCCUCCCUCGAUCCUCGACCCCUGCUUGGACGCUCCUCUCCAGCCCUCGACCGCUUGCCAGCCCAUGAACUGCCUUCUCGCCUUGCCCCUUUGGUCUGAUGAAGGAUUCAUCCAACACGCACA